CCUACGGGUGGCUGCAGUGGGGAAUAUUGGACAAUGGGGGGAACCCUGAUCCAGCCAUGCCGCGUGUGUGAAGAAGGCCCUCGGGUUGUAAAGCACUUUCAGUGAGGAAGAACGCCUGGUGGUUAAUACCCAUCAGGAAAGACAUCACUCACAGAAGAAGCACCGGCUAACUCCGUGCCAGCAGCCGCGGUAAUACGGAGGGUGCGAGAGUUAAUCGGAAUUACUGGGCGUAAAGCGCGCGUAGGUGGCUUGAUAAGCCGGUUGUGAAAGCCCCGGGCUCAACCUGGGAACGGCAUCCGGAACUGUCAAGCUAGAGUGCAGGAGAGGAAGGUAGAAUUCCCGGUGUAGCGGUGAAAUGCGUAGAGAUCGGGAGGAAUACCAGUGGCGAAGGCGGCCUUCUGGACUGACACUGACACUGAGGUGCGAAAGCGUGGGUAGCAAACAGGAUUAGAUACCCCGGUAGUC
rnacentral:rRNA from 1 species